rnacentral:rRNA from 1 species
AGUGAACGCUGGCGGUAGGCCUAACACAUGCAAGUCGAACGGCAGCACAGUAAGAGCUUGCUCUUACGGGUGGCGAGUGGCGGACGGGUGAGGAAUACAUCGGAAUCUACUUUUUCGUGGGGGAUAACGUAGGGAAACUUACGCUAAUACCGCAUACGACCUACGGGUGAAAGCAGGGGAUCAUCGGACCUUGCGCGAUUGAAUGAGCCGAUGUCGGAUUAGCUAGUUGGCGGGGUAAAGGCCCACCAAGGCGACGAUCCGUAGCUGGUCUGAGAGGAUGAUCAGCCACACGGGAACUGAGACACGGUCCAGACUCCUACGGGAGGCAGCAGUGGGGAAUAUUGGACAAUGGGCGCAAGCCUGAUCCAGCCAUACCGCGUGGGUGAAGAAGGCCUUCGGGUUGUAAAGCCCUUUUGUUGGGAAAGAAAAGCAGCAGGUUAAUACCCCGCUGUUCUGACGGUACCCAAAGAAUAAGCACCGGCUAACUUCGU